ensembl:misc_RNA Y_RNA Y RNA
GGCUGGUCUGAUGGCAGUGGGUAAUCAGAACUUAUUAACAUUAGUAUCACUAAGGUUGGUAUACUACCCCCUCACUGCUAAAUUUGACUGGCUUAAA